rnacentral:rRNA from 1 species
UACGGAGGGUCCAAGCGUUUAUCCGGAAUCAUUGGGUUUAAAGGGUCCGUAGGCGGUUUUGUAAGUCAGUGGUGAAAGCCCAUCGCUCAACGGUGGAACGGCCAUUGAUACUGCAAGACUUUGAAUUAUUGGGAAGUAACUAGAAUAUGUAGUGUAGCGGUGAAAUGCUUAGAGAUUACAUGGAAUACCAAUUGCGAAGGCAGGUUACUACCAAUAUAUUGACGCUGAUGGACGAAAGCGUGGGGAGCGAACAGG